UACAGAGGUCCCAAGCGUUGUUCGGAUUCACUGGGCGUAAAGGGUGCGUAGGUGGCUUGGUAAGUUCGAUGUGAAAUCUCCGGGCUUAACCCGAAAAUGGCAUUGAAUACUAUUGAGCUGGAGGUUUGGAGGGGGGACUGGAAUUCUCGGUGUAGCAGUGAAAUGCGUAGAUAUCGAGAGGAACACCAGUGGCGAAGGCGAGUCCCUGGACAACACCUGACACUGAGGCACGAAAGCUAGGGGAGCAAACAGG
rnacentral:rRNA from 1 species